AUCUGAAUGGAAACCCCUGUAUUGAUAUGAAUUGGAAAUAAUUAAAUGAAUGGUGAGUAACGCCACGCUGGAUGUUUGAAAUAUGAGUAGGUAUGAUUAACUGGGUAUGAUUUUUCUACUCAUUGAUGUAUACAUUUGUAUUACCUGUUCAUUUCCCACUGUGAUUGGCUCUAUGCAAGAAUAUUGAGAAGCGGGCACUCUAGAGAGGGUGUGCUGAAUUUGGAACUCCAUUAUCAACGACUCCUGAAGAAAGCUGGGAAAUAAUUGUGCCAAAAUAGAAAGUUGCACUGUAUCACAUAUAGAACCAACCUAGCGAUAUCAGUCAUGACUUUGUGUCCUCAUACACAAAGGACUGGCUGGAACCAAGUGUCCAUAUCCUACAUGUAGUACAUUCGUUUUUACAGAACAGACAAUAUAAUGGUUAAUUCCAGACUCUUCAGUGGGGUUGAAGAAUAUUGUACAUGGGGCAUUGAUCUUGAAGUAGAUCGCGCAACUAUCCACUGACUACCAGACAUCAGGGCUAGAGGCAUAUCACGCUCUGACGCUGCACUUCCUGAGGAAAAACACUGCCUUCUCCUACAAGGGAAUGCAUGCAAGAUCAUACCUUGCAUUACAAUGAGAACAGUGGAUUGACGCAGGCAGUGAGAAAAGACAGCCUGCUCAGGUACUCCCUCUCCUUCCCAAAUGCCAAGAAGGGUGGCUACACAAUUCAGCCAGUGAAGACCAAAACCUACGACUAUGUUGCCAAAAUAGUCAAAGCUGUGGUUUUGGCCCCCUGGAGGAGGAGUCAGACCCCAGGAUCCUGGAAUCACCUUCACCACUCUGUAGCCAGUUUUAGCGUCCCAUGAAGGACCAGGCAGUGAGGGAGUAAAUAUGUUGUUUUAAGGCUGCUCGCACACCAUGAGCACCUGUCUUCACACAUUUUAAAUUACAUUCGAGUCAUUUAGCAGAUGUAGUUCUCCAGACCGACUUACAGUAGUGAGUGCUAAGAUUGUUUUCUUACUUUUUCAUACUGGAAUUUCGAGUCUUUGGCUGAAAUGUAGCAGUUUACACUAAUCGUACAGUGGUGCAGUGAUUUCUUUAUUGAUUCGUCUGGCUUUGUGGAAGGUUCUGGAUUUGUGGAGUGAUGAGAUGCCUUGGCACUUGACACUGCAGACCUUGCUCGAAAUGUUGACUGUUUUGUGAAUUGUUGGUGUUCGUUAUUGACAGUGAACCAUACCAGUUACAGCGUCCUGUCCUCGCCCCUUCUACUUGUGCUGCCUGUGUGACUGAGCCCCUUUUUCAUCAGGGAGUACCUCCACGUGUGGGGAAUGCUGAUUGGUAAUAUGGUGUAGUGGAAAUUCACCACUAAGGACUAUAUCUCAAUGUAAAUGAAUUCAUCUUUAUUAUCACGGCCGGAGAGGUUCACAAACUCAUUCCAAUCUUAUUAAUGAAAACACUGAAAAGGGUGUUCCCUCUCAGUCCUUUUAUUCUGCUAUACAAUCAAGUCAUAUAAGCAUGAUAUACAUUAUUCAUUAUUAGCAUUGGUUCCUGCAUGUGACUGAACAUUGUUAUGGGCGUACUGCCAAUUGGUCUGAGGUCACAUUCACCUACACGAACCAAGGAGAUGCUGUUUGCAAUUCAAUGCUAGCUUUUCAGACAACAUUUUCCCUCACAAUGGCUUGCUAUUUUGCUACUGAGAAUACACAUCUGCUAGAGUAGAUCUGUACCUGCCAUUAUUUUUAUUUAUUUUUUACAGAGUUGUUCUCCCUCUGCUCAUGUUUACUACCCAUUACUGAGCUGCGAUAAUUGAAUAAAAGGAGCACUUUUAUUCUGUAACAGGACAGUGGGCUCCUUGAGCCUUCUCACACCAAUCGCUGCACGUCUGCUGCUGCGCCAAGCUUUCAGUGGAACUUGUUCAUCCA